rnacentral:lncRNA from 1 species
AGUUUGGGCCCCUGGAAGCCCCAGAGGGUGGGUGAUCCUCUGGAUGUGCCUGGGACUGAAGGAGAUCCUGGGCUGACGGGACCACUGGGUGUGGCUCUGGGGCAGUGGACCGCAAGGCCCAGCAGGUGUUCAGCCCCAGGCUCCCGACGGCCCCCCCCCCCCCCCACGCACCUCCCUCGGUCGGUCGGUCGGCGGGAGCGGAAACUGAGGCACAGCGAAGGCCCAGUCCCAGGCCAGCUCCCACCCUGCUCCUUGGGCCUGGCCUCGGCUUUCUGGCCCCCUCCUCCUGGUCCCCCUGCUCCCGUGCUCCCCCGUCCUUGGGAUCCUGCUCCCCUGCGCGUCCUCCCCUCCUCCUGCUCCCGGUCCUCGGGAUCCUGCUCCCUCUGCCGGUCCUCCCCUCGUCUCCUCCUCCCCUCCUCCUGCUCCCCGUCCUCCGGAUCCUGCUCCCCUGCGCGUCCUCCCCUCCUCCUGCUCCCGGUUCUCGGGAUCCUGCUCCCUCUGCCGGUCCUCCCCUCGUCUCCUCCUCCCCUCCUCCUGCUCCCCGUCCUCCGGAUCCUGCUCCCCUGCGCGUCCUCCCCUCCUCCUGCUCCCGGUCCUCGGGAUCCUGCUCCCUCUGCCGGUCCUCCCCUCGUCUCCUCCUCCCCUCCUCCUGCUCCGGUCCUCGGGAUCCUGCUCCCUCUGCCGGUCCUCCCCUCCGUCUCCCCCGCCCCUCCUCCUCUCCCGCCCGCCCGCCCUCCCUCCGCGCUCCUCCGGCGUCCUCCUCCCCUCCCCGCCUCAGGCGAGCUGACGCCGCCCGGCAGGAAUGCGUUUCCGGAGGGAGGGGAGCAGGAGCGGCCGCGGCGGCCGGAGGAGCAGGAGCGGCGGGGCCGAAGAGGCGGUGCCGCGGGGGUCGUUUCCUGCCGGGAGGCGGCUCCGGGCGGCCGAGUCUCCUGCCCCCGCCCCCGAGGAGGAGGAGCCGCCGCCGCCGCCGCGCCCGAGAGCCGGGAGGCCGCGCUAGCCGUCGGGAGAGGCCGAGCCGAGUCCCGGAGUCCCGGAGCUGCAGGCCCCAGCCGACCGCGGCCCGGACGCCCCGGAGAAGGUGGCGCCGUGUGUGCGCGUGUGUGCGCGUGUGCGCGUGUGCGCGUGUGUGCGUGUGGCGGGCGGCGCGGGCCGGGGCGCCGCGGCCGGGCCUGCGUGGGGCGGGGGCGGGGGCGGCGGGCGCGGUGGCGGGGCUGCGGGACGAACGCUGCGCCGGGGCCGGGGGCCGGGGGCCGGGGGCCGGGCCGGCUGCGCCCGCCGAGGCCCGGAGCUCGUCCCGCCGCCUCGCGAGUGGGGGUCGCGGGCCUGGGCGCUGUCCCGCCGCGGUGGGGGGCCCCGAGCGCGCGGAGCGAGCCGGCCUGCCUCGUGGGCCGCCUGGGCCCGGGUUCCGCGUGCGGGGAGGGGCGAGCGGGGCCGCCCGCGGCCCGACGCCCCGGGGCUUGGAGCGAGCCCUUGCGGCUUCCCUUUGUUCCCGGUCCCGUCGGGGCCGCUCUCCCCCGAGCGGCCUGGAGCGUAGUAGCGCGCUUCCCGCUUGCAGAAGUCGGGCCGCAGCCUUCAGGGCCUGCUGCCGGGGCUAACUGCGGGCCGGGCCCAAAGAGAGGCGGGCGUCGGGAGCCGGGGAAGGCGCGGGCUUGGCGACUUGGGGUGUGUGAGGGCCGCGCCGAGUGGGGGGUCCCUCAGCAGGGGGCCGGCCAGGGGCUCCCGCGGCUCUGCAGGAGCCAGUGCCCACCUGCCCUGGGGCCCGGCCUCUUACUGCGCCUCAAUUCUUGGGCUUCCUAA